AUAGGAGAUAGAAAUUCAGCUCUGGGGCUACAGAGAUAGUACUGCAAGGGAACGAUGAAAGAUAAGUUCACAGUACAAAAUAGCAGAUUAACUCUCAUACCUUUCGCAUACUGAAUUAACUAGAAUAGUCUGGCAUAGCGAACUGCAGCCAGAGACCCUGAAAUCAGACGAACUACCUACAGGCAGUCUCCAGGACUAACUCAUCUAUGUAGCAAAAUAAUGAGAAGACCCUUAGGCACAGGUGAAAAGCCAACCAAGCCUGGUGGUAGCUGGCUGUCCAGGAUAGAAUUUUAGUUCUACCUAAAAUUUAUUAAGAGAGAUAAUAAUCCUCACGUAAAUUUUAGAGUUAUUCAAAAGAGGUACAGCUGUUUUGACACAGGACACAACCUUAACUAGAGAGUAUGUUUCACUUCAUAGUUGGCCUAAAGUCAGCCAUCAAGUAAGAAAGUGUUAAAGCUCGAGAACUGCACAUUUUACAAAUACCAAGAAAACUAACCAUCUCCUAAGCACAGUACUGGACUAAUCUACAUAAAAUGGAAGGAAUAAUGUGAAUAUAAGUAACAAGAACUACUUCUCCCUGCAUAAGUUUAUAUCAGAAUGGAUGCCCGCUGACAGUUAACAACCCAAUAAACUAAAUCCACAAAUUAAUACCUUAUUCCAUUUAUUGUUAUCCCAACACAAGUAUGCUUAAAGGGAAAGAUUAAAAGAAGCAAAAGGAAUUCAGCAAACACAGACCCCACCGGUUUACCAAAAACAUCACCUCUAGCAUUGUAAGUAUUUGAGGCACUGCCUGCCAAGUGGCAUGUGUGUAAGGGCCGGCCACAGUACUCUGACCAUGCAAAGGUAGCAUAAUCAUUUGGCCCUUAAAUAGGGACUUGUAUGAAUGGCCACAGAGAGUCUAACUGCCUCUUAAUUCUAAUCAGUGAAAUUGACUUCUCCGUAAAGAGGUGGGCUUACACCUAUAAGACGAGAAGGCCCUAUGGAGCUUAAAUUAAUUAAUUCAACUAUAAUAACUCCUACAAGGCAUAACUUAUUAUUCCAAUGAAUUAACAAUUUUGGUUGGGGUGACUUUGGAGAAUAACCUGCAAAUGAUUUUGUAAUCCAGAUUUAACUCAUCAAAAUUUACAAAUCAUUUAUUGACCCAAUUUUGGAUCAACGGAACAAAUUACUCUAGGGUUAACAGUGCAAUCCUAUUUUACAGUCCUUGUGCAUAAUAGGGAAGCCCUGGUAGCAUAGUGGUUAAGAGCUAGGGCUGCUAACCAAAAGGUUGGCAGUUUGAAUCUGCCAGGUGCUCCUUGGAAGCCAAAUGGGGCAGUUCUACUCUGUCCUAUCCCCUCGCUGCCAUCCUAGUCGGAAUUGACUAGACAGCAACAGGUUUGGAUUUUUUUUUUUUAAUCCAUAAUAGGGAAGCCCUGGUGGGCAGUGGUUAAGUGCUACAGCCCCUAACCAAAAGGUCAGCAGUUCGAAUCCACCUGGCGCACCUUGGAAACUCUGUGGGGCAGUUCUACUCUGUUCUAUAGGGUCAUUGUGAGUCAGAAUCGACUUGAUGGCAAUGGGUUUGGUUUUUGGUUUUUUAUCUGUAAUAGGGUUUAUUACCUCGAUGUUGGAUCAGGACAUCCCAGUGAAGCAGCCGCUAUUAAAGUUUCGUUUGUUCAAUGAUUAAGGUUCUACGUGAUCUGAGUUCAGACCAGAGUAAUCCGGGUCAGUUUCUAUCUAUAAACUAUUUCUCCCAGUA
rnacentral:ncRNA from 1 species